rnacentral:rRNA from 2 species
AUUAAUUUGAGAGUUUGAUCCUGGCUCAGGACGAACGCUGGCGGCGUGCCUAAUACAUGCAAGUCGAACGAACUCUGGUAUUGAUUGGUGCUUGCAUCAUGAUUUACAUUUGAGUGAGUGGCGAACUGGUGAGUAACACGUGGGAAACCUGCCCAGAAGCGGGGGAUAACACCUGGAAACAGAUGCUAAUACCGCAUAACAACUUGGACCGCAUGGUCCGAGCUUGAAAGAUGGCUUCGGCUAUCACUUUUGGAUGGUCCCGCGGCGUAUUAGCUAGAUGGUGGGGUAAUGGCUCACCAUGGCAAUGAUACGUAGCCGACCUGAGAGGGUAAUCGGCCACAUUGGGACUGAGACACGGCCCAGACUCCUACGGGAGGCAGCAGUAGGGAAUCUUCCACAAUGGACGAAAGUCUGAUGGAGCAACGCCGCGUGAGUGAAGAAGGGUUUCGGCUCGUAAAACUCUGUUGUUAAAGAAGAACAUAUCUGAGAGUAACUGUUCAGGUAUUGACGGUAUUUAACCAGAAAGCCACGGCUAACUACGUGCCAGCAGCCGCGGUAAUACGUAGGUGGCAAGCGUUGUCCGGAUUUAUUGGGCGUAAAGCGAGCGCAGGCGGUUUUUUAAGUCUGAUGUGAAAGCCUUCGGCUCAACCGAAGAAGUGCAUCGGAAACUGGGAAACUUGAGUGCAGAAGAGGACAGUGGAACUCCAUGUGUAGCGGUGAAAUGCGUAGAUAUAUGGAAGAACACCAGUGGCGAAGGCGGCUGUCUGGUCUGUAACUGACGCUGAGGCUCGAAAGUAUGGGUAGCAAACAGGAUUAGAUACCCUGGUAGUCCAUACCGUAAACGAUGAAUGCUAAGUGUUGGAGGGUUUCCGCCCUUCAGUGCUGCAGCUAACGCAUUAAGCAUUCCGCCUGGGGAGUACGGCCGCAAGGCUGAAACUCAAAGGAAUUGACGGGGGCCCGCACAAGCGGUGGAGCAUGUGGUUUAAUUCGAAGCUACGCGAAGAACCUUACCAGGUCUUGACAUACUAUGCAAAUCUAAGAGAUUAGACGUUCCCUUCGGGGACAUGGAUACAGGUGGUGCAUGGUUGUCGUCAGCUCGUGUCGUGAGAUGUUGGGUUAGUCCCGCAACGAGCGCAACCCUUAUUAUCAGUUGCCAGCAUUAAGUUGGGCACUCUGGUGAGACUGCCGGUGACAAACCGGAGGAAGGUGGGGAUGACGUCAAAUCAUCAUGCCCCUUAUGACCUGGGCUACACACGUGCUACAAUGGAUGGUACAACGAGUUGCGAACUCGCGAGAGUAAGCUAAUCUCUUAAAGCCAUUCUCAGUUCGGAUUGUAGGCUGCAACUCGCCUACAUGAAGUCGGAAUCGCUAGUAAUCGCGGAUCAGCAUGCCGCGGUGAAUACGUUCCCGGGCCUUGUACACACCGCCCGUCACACCAUGAGAGUUUGUAACACCCAAAGUCGGUGGGGUAACCUUUUAGGAACCAGCCGCCUAAGGUGGGACAGAUGAUUAGGGUGAAGUCGUAACAAGGUAGCCGUAGGAGAA